rnacentral:lncRNA from 1 species
UUAGGUGAUAGGAGUUGAAUGAAACCGUUGGUGCAUAUAUUCCUACCUUGUCCACUAUACGAAACUACCUGAACCCUUACUAGUAUAAGGAAGACGUUCUAUGCAUAGCUAUGCUUAGCUCGGUAGAAGCCAGGUGAUUUCCUGUCACCUGCGAGAGAUAGGUGGAUACCUGAUCACGGUUGGCUAUAUUUGCUAUCGUGGAAAUAACCAUGUGCUAAUAAUGAAUUUGAGACCGGGCGGGAUGACGGUAAUGAAGCAACAAGGCAUGGAGGUCUUGGGUGUGAAUCUAUCCCCGUCUGUGUCGUUUAAGGACCGAAUCGCUGUACGUCCCCGUGUCAUGUUGAACGCAUGCCUAUCACUUAGUUGGCCGGAUAAGUCGUUCCGACCGCGAAGCCUACGAGUGCAACUCAGGCCAGAUACCCUGUUCUGUAUGAGUGCGCACCCCGGUUGGUAGCAAGGAUGUGCGGGGAGUCAAUGGCGUAAGACCGAGGUGUCAGGUUAGAGUCUUGACCCUGGCAGAUUGGCGGUCCCUGGGGGUGCGGCGCUGGACGGACCCGCGAAUUGUGCUAAAGGUGAUCCAAGCUACUCUAGCUAAGUAUGCCUGGGUGAGUGCUAGGAAUACCCCUCCAGCUAGAUAGGAAUCGAUUCGAAUCGCCGUCUCUCCCGAAUAGUGAGAACUUGUCUCGGGCAGCGGCAACGUAGAUAAACUAAAUGAAACUUAAUGGUUAUGAUGAUGAUGAUGGCUACAUGAUAAACCGGAUAUGGUUAUUAAUGUGAUGCUUAAUAAUCAAGUGAUUGCUAUAGAAUAGGUGUAAAAUCUAGAUAUGGUAGCUUAACCGAACUUGAUGCUAAAAUAUUGACUAAAAGGUUGAAAGUAAGGACUCAUGAUAGUAAUGCUCUUUUUGGCAAAGUUAUGCUAUCCAACCAACUCCACCAAAAAGCCUUGCAUAUCCUUGAUAGUCUUUUGUUUCUCUCCUGUCGGGUAA